rnacentral:rRNA from 1 species
GCCUCCCUCUUUCUUCGUGCCUAACACAUGCAAGUUGAGCGACGAACCAGGGCUUGCCCUGGGGCAAAGCAGCGAACGGGUGAGUAACACGUGGGUAACCUACCCCGAUAACCGGGACAACCCGAGGAAACUCGGGCUAAUACCGGAUGUGCUCACUGGACUUCGGUUCAGUGCGUAAAGGAAGCUUCGGCCUCCGUAUCGGGAGGGGCCCGCGGCCCAUUAGUUUGUUGGUGAGGUAACGGCUCACCAAGACCGCGAUGGGUAGCUGGUCUGAGAGGACGAUCAGCCACACUGGGACUGAGACACGGCCCAGACUCCUACGGGAGGCAGCAGUGGGGAAUCUUGCGCAAUGCGCGAAAGCGUGACGCAGCAACGCCGCGUGGGGGAAGAAGGCCUUCGGGUUGUAAACCCCUUUCAGGAGGGACGAAGGUUCGGCGGUGAAUAGCCGUCCGGACUGACGGUACCUCCACAAGAAGCCCCGGCUAACUACGUG